UAUCUCUCCGUACGGGGAAGGAUGAGAAGCUUCGACUAAGGUUCGAUUCGAGCGUCAGCGAGAAAGCGUUGCCGCAGGCAACGACCCGAAGGGCGAAGCGCGCAGCGCUGAGUCAUCCUUCCCCCACCACCA
rnacentral:sRNA from 1 species